rnacentral:tRNA from 1 species
AUAUACAGAUUUGUGUUGAAUCUUGCAAAGGUUCAGUUUAGUAUUUUAAUACUUAUGCUUU